CACAGACUAUUUUUAGUUCGGAUGAGGAUGACUCUAGAAUGACUAACCAUGCCUGCUGUCAAUCGAUCUCCACCCACCAGACGUACACCAGGCUCCAAGACGUGUCCAGCAGGGACGUCACACUGGUCAGCCUGCCAGGAAAACGUCAAUGCUUCCCUACAGAGACUUGCAUACAGACGACGACUUGUUACUGUGGAUGCAAAUGUCGCAUGGUUGACCAGAUUUUUACCGCACUAGUCUACAACCCGGACUACCCGGCAAGGAGCAA